GGCCCGGGCCUGCAAUUGGGCUUUGUCUGCUUUAUGUAGAAGUCUAAAAGUCAGUGGCGGUUAAGUUAGACAUUCCAGCGUAGUGAUUAUAUUAGCUGUUGAAAUAUCUUUUACAUAACAGUCAGGGUUUCUGCUGGCGGAGACCCUUGGAUUUAUCAAUUAUUGACCUCGGAUCAGGUGAGGAUACCCGCUGAAUUUAA
rnacentral:misc_RNA from 1 species